AUUGAACGCUGGCGGCAGGCCUAACACAUGCAAGUCGAGCGGAGCGGCGGACGGGUGAGUAAUGCCUAGGAAUCUGCCUGGUAGUGGGGGAUAACGUCCGGAAACGGGCGCUGAUACCGCAUACUAUCAGAUGAGCCUAGGUUGGAUUAGCUAGUUGGCGGGGUAAAGGCCUACCAAGGCGACGAUCCGUAACUGGUAUGAGCGGAUGAUCAGUCACACUGGGACUGAGACACGGUCCAGACUGCUACGGUAGGCAGCAGUGGGGAAUAUUGGACAAUGGGCGAAAGCCUGAUCCAGCCCUGCCGGGUGUGGGAAGAAGGUCGUCGGAUUGUAAAUCACUUUAAGUUGGGAGGCGUUACCAACAGAAUAAGCACCGGCUAACUUCGUGCCAGCAGCCGCGGUAAUUC
rnacentral:rRNA from 1 species